UACGGGGGGGGCAAGCGUUGUUCGGAAUUACUGGGCGUAAAGGGCUCGUAGGCGGCCAACUAAGUCAUACGUGAAAUCCCCCGGCUUAACCGGGGAACUGCGUCUGAUACUGGAUGGCUUGAGUUCGGGAGAGGGAUGCGGAAUUCCAGGUGUAGCGGUGAAAUGCGUAGAUAUCUGGAGGAACACCGGUGGCGAAGGCGGCAUCCUGGACCGAUACUGACGCUGAGGAGCGAAAGCCAGGGGAGCAAACAGG
rnacentral:rRNA from 1 species